rnacentral:sRNA from 1 species
AAUUAAAUUAGUAUUUGACUUUUUAAUCUUUAAAGAGAUAAAUUAAUUUACUCUUUAAAAUUUUAUUUCUAAUGGCAUACCUAUGUAAUUACUUACAAAAAUUAAGGUUAUAUUUAAAAUGUACUUCCCAAAUAAUAUAGUAGGAUCAUUGUACUUGUUGUUAAAUUUUGG